UACGUAGGGACCAAGCGUUGUCCGGAAUCAUUGGGCGUAAAGAGCGUGUAGGCGGCUUGUUAAGUCUUGCGUGAAAUCUCGGGGCUCAACCCCGAGCGGUCGUGAGAAACUGGCAGGCUAGAGUGCGGGAGAGGAGAGUGGAGUUCCUGGUGUAGCGGUGAAAUGCGCAGAUAUCAGGAAGAACACCUAUGGCGAAGGCAGCACUCUGGGACGGUACUGACGCUGAGACGCGAAAGCGUGGGGAGCGAACAGG
rnacentral:rRNA from 1 species